ensembl:snoRNA
AUGACCCUGAAUCAAGGCUGGCAGCUUUCUGACACUAUUGGUUUCAAGCAGGAGCCUAAAGAGAUGUCUUUCUAUGGUCUGUUGGCCAUUUCAGAACUUGGGCAGUGAAAUGGUCAAUUCAUUAGAAAGUAACAGCU